UUUUUUUUUUUUUUUUUUUUUUUCUUUUUUUUUUUUUUUUUCUUCAGGAAAUCACUAUAAUGACGAGUGGCUCAAAACUCUUCCCAAGGACUAAAAACAGGAUAGGGACGAAAUUUUUUGUGGACACUUUUUUUUUUUUUUUGUAGCGGUGCGGGGCUGCGGCGGCCAAAAAAAAUGCGAAAAAAUCACUAUGAUGGCGAGGGUCUCAAAACUCUUUAAAAAACCUAACAAAACGAUAGGGAAAAAAAAUUUUCACCCCUCGAAAUUUUGGC
rnacentral:lncRNA from 1 species